AUUGAACGCUGGCGGCAUGCUUUACACAUGCCAGUCGAACGGUAACAGGUUAAGCUGACGCGUGGCGAACGGGUGAGUAAUGCAUCGGUACGUGCCCGAUCGUGGGGGAUAACGCAGCGAAAGCUGCGCUAAUACCGCAUACGAUCUGAGGUUGAAAGCUGAGGCCCGUAAGGCCUGGCUGAAUCGGACCGGCCGAUGUCAGAUUAGGUAGUUGGCGGGGUAAAGGCUCACCAGGCCGACGAUCUCUAACUGGUCUGAGAGGACGACCAGCCACACUGGGGUGGAGCAACGGCCCAGACUCCUACGGGAGGAAGCAGUGGGGAAUUUUGGACAAUGGGCGAAAGCCUGAUCCAGCAAUGCCGCGUGCAGGAAGAAGUCUUUCGGGUUGUAAACUGCUUUUGUACGGAGCGAAAAGGCUCUCUCUAAUACAGGGGGCUAAUGACGGUACCGUAAGAAUAAGCACCGGCUAACUACGUG
rnacentral:rRNA from 1 species